GCAAGGGUCGCCAGAGGACGGGUCCGCGUCCCAUCAGCUAGUUGGUGAGGUAAUGGCUCAACCAAGGCGAAGACGGGUAGCUGGUCUGAGAGGAUGAUCAGCCACACUGGAACUGAGACACGGUCCAGACUCCGUACGGGAGGCAGCAGGUGGGAAUAUUGCGCAAGUGGGGCGAAAGCCUGACGCAGCCACGCCGCGUGAGCGAUGAAGGUCUUCGGAUCGUAAAGCUCUGGUGGGGGGAGAAGAAGAAAGUCGGUGAAGAGCCGGCCCUGACGGUAUCCCCUUAGCAAGCACCGGCUAACUCCGUGCCAGCAGCCGCGGUAAUACGGAGGGUGCAAACGUUGCUCGGAAUCAUUGGGCGUAAAGCGCGCGUAGGCGGCUGAACAAGUUGGAUGUGAAAGCCCUGGGCUCAACCUAGGAUGUGCAUUCAAAACUGUUCGGCUUGAGUCUCGGAGGGGGUCAGAGAAUUCUCGGUGUAGAGGUGAAAUUCGUAGAUAUCGGGAG
rnacentral:rRNA from 1 species